AGUUUAACCUCAUCCUCUGACAGUUGUUGCAGCCUCAUGGUUGCACAAACCUCUUCAAACUCUCUAAUGAAUAUGUAUGCAUCCUCUAUUCUCGUGAAUUUUGGAAGCAUAUUAAUGAUUUGAGGUUUAAUUUCAAAGUUGUUUGCAGUGGGUUGGGGCAACCUGAUGCAAGAAGGUUGGACGGAACCGACUGGAUAACAUAAAUCCUUAAGGGUUUGGGGUUGAUUGGGUUCUCCCAUUGU
rnacentral:lncRNA from 1 species